AGGAAGCUAGUCUAACUAAGACAGUUGAUUUCGGCUCAACAAAUUAUAGUAAUCACCCUAUAGCCUCCUU
rnacentral:tRNA from 1 species